ACAUUUAUGCAUGCAUUUAAGAAACCAGAGUCAUAUUUCCUACCAUGGAACUACUGACACUCAACCUGGUGCAUAUCAUGUGACUGUUCUGAUGUGUUUGUCUCUUCCUGCCUUUUUUCAGGUCAGCAGACAUCACUGCCUCCACCACCUGCAUAUGAGUCAACCCCACACAGGAAACCAGCCGGUCGCCCAGAGCUGGAUGGGUCUAUUGUAACGCAAGCUCGGCCUGCCACUUCAUCUUGGGACCCAGUUGAAGCGGAACUCAUCACACAGUGGAUGGCUCAGCCAUUGAGACGGAAAUGACAGCUAUGAGGACAACCAUUACCCGCAUGGCACAACGGAUGGAUGUAUUUAAGGAGAAGAUGGAUGAGCUGCUCAUGCUCUUAAGGACCCUUGGAGGACCCCACAGUGCUCCCCCCCUCACAAUAUCCAACAGCCCCUCUGGCAGGUGCUACAGAUCCUUGCACACAAAAACAACCAGACAUUAGAGCAGCUUCUUUCCCACAGCCAUCACUAUCCUGAACUGCUGAUAAGUAGGGUCAUCCCCACUUUGGCCUUUCACCUACACAUUACAUACUUUAUCAUUCCAGUAUGCAUCUUGCACACUACAUUUGCACUAUUACUUUGCACU